rnacentral:rRNA from 1 species
GAUGAACGCUAGCGAUAGGCUUAACACAUGCAAGUCGAGGGGCAGCAUAAGAAUAGCAAUAUUCUGGUGGCGACCGGCGCACGGGUGAGUAACACGUAUGCAACCUACCCAUAACUGGAGAAUAACCCGUCGAAAGGCGGACUAAUACUGCAUAAUAAUGUUCCCCCGCAUGAGGGAGCAUUUAAAGAUUUAUCGGUUAUGGAUGGGCAUGCGUUCCAUUAGAUAGUUGGUAGGGUAACGGCCUACCAAGUCUACGAUGGAUAGGGGUUCUGAGAGGAAGGUCCCCCACAUUGGUACUGAGACACGGACCAAACACCUACGGGUGGCUG